rnacentral:lncRNA from 1 species
GGUUGCAAACUGCUGAGUUUAGUCAUCUGAAUCAUUGGGGUAGGCUUCAUGAUACAUAUAAACAGGUGUCUUAUUCAAAUCAUCCCAUAAAAUGAAUUGUAUUUAACAAUGUUCAAUACGUUAUAAGGUAAGCUUCGUUUGUUCGGGAAUUAAAAAGUCCUUGUACAUUGAAAAAAGGACUGUUCUACAUCCACUGACAGUAAUGUACAUAUUUAUAUUUAAUUCUUAGCUCCAGUUCUGUGGUGAACAAAACCUCUUCCAAGUCUGGAUUGUUGUUUUAAACAAUUCUCCAGUUUUUGUAAAGUAAAGCCAUCAGUAGACUUCUUAGCUUGAUGCAAAACGGCUUACUGCCCUUUCAUUGUCAAAUCUCUUGCUUAUAGUGUCAUAUAAAUGUAGAUAAAUUUUUGUAAGCAUGCACAGAGUAAAGUUCGAGCUCAGUUUCAUUCUGUUCAAGCAGCUUUUUCAGUUUUUUGGUUGCAGAAGAUUCAUUGUCAUUCACUUCUAAAAUGAAUUGUUUUAUUUUUGUGAAAUUUUCACAGUGAAAAAUGGCCGUAUUAAUCCAGGUCCUCCAACAGGCUCAAAGGGCAGUGAUAACCCUGUUAUUUCUUUGUGUUGUUCAAUAUGUGCAGGGGCCUUUUUCAAUAGCUUCUUCAUCUAUAUAUAUAAAGCUGAAUGUUUGUAUGUAUGUAUGUCCGGUUUUGAAAUCGUACUUCCAAAUGAGUUAUAAUGUUGAAAUUUUGCACAUAAUCGUGUAAUGCUAUCACCUUGAUGGGAAAAAUCCGAAAUUCGUGAUAAGUCUACUGUGACAAUUAUUAUUAUUAUUUUGGAGAACAGAGACCGCGAACUUUU